UUGAUCUAUGAGUCUCUGUGCAGUACUCCAAACUAUCAAGAAAUCAGGUAUCUCUAUGUCUGAAUAUCUUAGCAAACUUAAAGAGGGUUUUGACAAGUAUUAGGCUCUUGGUGAGCCUUUGUCUUACAGGGAUCAUCUUACUUAUAUUCUUGAAGGGCUCGGGGAGGAGUACGAUAGAUUUGUCACCUCCAUCACCACAAGACCUGAUAAACCCUCCUUUGAUGAACUUCAUAACCUUCUCCUCACUUGUGAUUAUCGCCUCAGUUCUCGUUUGGCCUCUCAACAACUUCAAUUCCUUAGGCCAACCUUUCUCAUUUGCUUGACUCCCGUCCUUCUUCUUCCGAACUUCCCUCUAACCGCCAAACUCUUCCCACCCUUCUUCUCCUUAGCCUCAAUCUUCUUUUCGUGCCGCCCCUUUCUCAGGUCUCCUUAGUAAACCUCAGUUUCCUUCCCCUUGGUCUCCUCGGUCAAACUCCCCAUCUUACUCUAUACCCCAGUGCCAAAUAUGUGGGAAACCAGGCCAUAUUGCCCUCAACAGUUAUCACCGUACAAAUCUCUCCUCAUUUUUCCCAAACUUGUCUCCAAAAUUUCAUCCUCCUCGCUCCCCUACAGCUGCUGCUAUGCUCACUAAGUCUAUUCUCUCACUUUCGUCCUCUAUCGAUUCUUCAUGGUACAUGGACUCCGGAGCCUCUCACCAUUUCACUCCUGAAUUUGGAGCUCUUGAUGAUGCUCAACCUUUUAAUGGUCAUGAUCAGGUUAUGUUAGGUAAUGGACCAGGUUUCAAAGCACAUCCUUCUCCACAGUCAUCUUGAAAAUGGCCUCUACAAACUUUCCUCAUCAUCUUUUGCUCCCCCUUCACUGUCUUCUAUCACUCCUACUCACGCCCUUCUUGCUCAUCUCGAUCCACUUCAACUCUACCAUUACCAUCUCGACCACCCUUCUUUACCUAUGGUCAAACGUGUUAUACAAUCUUGUAAUGCUCUACUAGGUCCAAUUUUCAUCUCUGUAAUGCUUGUCAAAUGGCCAAGAACCACAAGCUUCCCUUUUCUAUUUCUACUUCUAGAGCAUCUGUACCAUUUGAGCUUGUACACUCUGACUUAUGGGGUCCUUCCCCCGAAAUGGAAAUAAUAGGUGUUCGUUAUUUUCUGUUGUU